UGUUGGGAUGUCCCUCCCUCAAUCAACUAUACAUGUAAAAUGGUUAAGUUUAGUGUUAGUUAAGGGUUAUAGUUUAGGGUUCAGGGUAGGGACGUCCUAAGGAAUCUGGAUUGCAGUGACCGUUCAUAGAGUGAGAGAAGGGCACGUUAUUUGAGAGCUCGGAGGUGACACAGACAUUCAUUUGUUUUUUUUGUUUUUUUACAAACGACAGAAACGAUUUUCGAGAGUGUCUGCCCCAGAUGAUAGUUUCCUUGGAGUCGUUGAAAAUAAUUAUGAUCUCCCUGAUCCGAUUGAGUAGACCGAGUUUUGAAAUCAGUGGAAAUUGAGUAUGAUGGCUAAGGAGAUGGAGAAAAAAAGCCUGUCUCCGGAUUACAUCUUCAAACUAAGGGCAACCAUGGCAUCCGACAGGAGACGCGUCCAUCCAUGAUGUAUAUAGGACUGCGUCGGCCAAAGCAGCUGAAGCGCUCACCAACGAGGACACCCUUGUAGGCCUGGAGAUGGCUGAGGGGUCAGGCAAAUCAGCCACCUCUGUGAAGACUUCAUGUUUUGUUAUAUUUAUUUUGUUACAUAUAACACAUAUGUAGAUGUGGCCCAUGUCUGAAUAUGGUUGCAAAAAUAAAGCUUGAUUUA